UGGGGAAUAUUGGGCAAUGGGCGAAAGCCUGACCCAGCAACGCCGCGUGAAGGAAGAAGGUUUUCGGAUUGUAAACUUCUGUCCUCAGGGAAGAAGAAAGUGACGGUACCUGAGGAGGAAGCCCCGGCUAACUACGUGCCAGCAGCCGCGGUAAUACGUAGGGGGCGAGCGUUGUCCGGAAUGACUGGGCGUAAAGGGCGCGUAGACGGCUGUCUAAGUCUGGAGUGAAAGUCCUGCUUUCAAGGUGGGAAUUGCUUUGGAGACUGGAUGGCUUGAGUGCGGAAGAGGUAAGUGGAAUUCCCAGUGUAGCGGUGAAAUGCGUAGAGAUUGGGAGGAACACCAGUGGCGAAGGCGACUUACUGGGCCGUAACUGACGUUGAUGCGCGAAAGCGUGGGGAGCGAACAGG
rnacentral:rRNA from 1 species